GUCUACAGCCAUACCACCCUGAACACGCCUGAUCUCAGAAGCUAAGCAGGGUCGGGCCUGGUUAGUACUUGGAAGGGAGAAAUUCACAGAGUGAGAUAGGAUUGCCCAGUACUGAGCCC
ensembl:rRNA 5S_rRNA 5S ribosomal RNA